GUCUACAGCCAUACAACCCUGAAUGCACCUGAUCUCAUGUGAUUUUGGAAGCUAAGCAAGGUAGGUCCUGGUUAGUACUUGGAUGGGAGACCACCUGGGAAUACCAGGUGCUGUAGGCU
rnacentral:rRNA from 1 species